AUUGAACGCUGGCGGCAGGCCUAACACAUGCAAGUCGAGCGGAGCGGCGGACGGGUGAGUAAUGCCUAGGAAUCUGCCUGGUAGUGGGGGAUACCGUCCGGAAACGGGCCCUAAUACCGCAUACUAUCAGAUGAGCCUAGGUCGGAUUAGCUAGGUGGGGGGGUAAAGGCCUACCAAGGCGACGAUCCGUAACUGGUCUGAGAGGAUGAUCAGUCACACUGGAACUGAGACACGGUCAAGACUACUACGGGAGGAAGCAGUGGGGAAGAUUGGACAAUGGGCGAAAGCCUGAUCCAGCCAUGCCGCGUGUGUGAAGAAGGUCUUCGGAGUGUAAAGCACUUUAAGUUGGGAGGCGUUACCAACAGAAUAAGCACCGGCUAACUUCGUGCCAGCAGCCGCGGUAAUAC
rnacentral:rRNA from 1 species